GACGAACGCUGGCGGCGUGCUUAACACAUGCAAGUCGAACGGAAAGGCCCCCUUGUGGGGUACUCGAGUGGCGAACGGGUGAGUAACACGUGAGUAACCUACCCUUCCCUUUGGGAUAACUUCAGUAAACUGGGGCUAAUACCGGAUAGGAGCUCCUGCUGCAUGGUGGGGUUUGGAAGGUUUCGGCGGUUGGGGAUGGACUUGCGGCUUAUCAGCUUGUUGGUGGGGUAGUGGCUCACCAAGGCUUUGACGGGUAGCCGGCCUGAGAGGGUGACCGGCCACAUUGGGACUGAGAUACGGCCCAGACUCCUACGGGAGGCAGCAGUGGGGAGUAUUGCACAAUGGGCGGAAGCCUGAUGCAGCAACGCCGCGUGCGGGAUGACGGCCUUCGGGUUGUAAACCGCUUUCGCCUGUGACGAAGCGUGAGUGACGGUAAUGGGUAAAGAAGCACCGGCUAACUACGUG
rnacentral:rRNA from 1 species